CAUGCAAGUCGAACGGCAGCACGGACUUCGGUCUGGUGGCGAGUGGCGAACGGGUGAGUAAUGUAUCGGAACGUGCCCAGUAGCGGGGGAUAACUACGCGAAAGCGUAGCUAAUACCGCACUACGCCCGUACGGGGGAAAGCAGGGGAUCGCAAGACCUUGCACUAUUGGAGCGGCCGAUAUCGGAUUAGCUAGUUGGUGGGGUAACGGCUCACCAAGGCGACGAUCCGUAGCUGGUUUGAGAGGACGACCAGCCACACUGGGACUGAGACACGGCCCAGACUCCUACGGGAGGCAGCAGUGGGGAAUUUUGGACAAUGGGGGAAACCCUGAUCCAGCCAUCCCGCGUGUGCGAUGAAGGCCUUCGGGUUGUAAAGCACUUUUGGCAGGAAAGAAACGUCGUGGGUUAAUACCCCGCGAAACUGACGGUACCUGCAGAAUAAGCACCGGCUAACUACGUGCCAGCAGCCGCGGUAAUACGUAGGGUGCAAGCGUUAAUCGGAAUUACUGGGCGUAAAGCGUGCGCAGGCAGUUCGGAAAGAAAGAUGUGAAAUCCCAGAGCUUAACUUUGGAACUGCAUUUUUAACUACCGGGCUAGAGUGUGUCAGAGGGAGGUGGAAUUCCGCGUGUAGCAGUGAAAUGCGUAGAUAUGCGGAGGAACACCGAUGGCGAAGGCAGCCUCCUGGGAUAACACUGACGCUCAUGCACGAAAGCGUGGGGAGCAAACAGGAUUAGAUAACCUGGUAGUCCACGCCCUAAACGAUGUCAACUAGCUGUUGGGGCCUUCGGGCCUUGGUAGCGCAGCUAAC
rnacentral:rRNA from 1 species